rnacentral:tRNA from 1 species
AGCAAUGAAGUAAAAUUUACAAUUAGUUUCGACCUAAUCAUAAAGAGAACAUUCUCCUUGCUU